rnacentral:rRNA from 1 species
UACGUAGGGUCCGAGCGUUGUCCGGAAUUACUGGGCGUAAAGAGCUCGUAGGUGGUUUGUCGCGUUGUUCGUGAAAACUCACAGCUCAACUGUGGGCGUGCGGGCGAUACGGGCAGACUUGAGUACUGCAGGGGAGACUGGAAUUCCUGGUGUAGCGGUGGAAUGCGCAGAUAUCAGGAGGAACACCGGUGGCGAAGGCGGCUCUCUGGACCGUUACUGACGCUGAGAUACGAAAGCGUGGGGAGCAAACAGG